AACGAUGAAGCCCUUCGGGGUGGAUUAGUGGCGAACGGGUGAGUAACACGUGGGCAAUCUGCCCUUCACUCUGGGACAAGCCCUGGAAACGGGGUCUAAUACCGGAUAACACUUCCGUCCUCCUGGACGGUGGUUAAAAGCUCCGGCGGUGAAGGAUGAGCCCGCGGCCUAUCAGCUUGUUGGUGAGGUAAUGGCUCACCAAGGCGACGACGGGUAGCCGGCCUGAGAGGGCGACCGGCCACACUGGGACUGAGACACGGCCCAGACUCCUACGGGAGGCAGCAGUGGGGAAUAUUGCACAAUGGGCGAAAGCCUGAUGCAGCGACGCCGCGUGAGGGAUGACGGCCUUCGGGUUGUAAACCUCUUUCAGCAGGGAAGAAGCGAAAGUGACGGUACCUGCAGAAGAAGCGCCGGCUAACUACGUGCCAGCAGCCGCGGUAAUACGUAGGGCGCAAGCGUUGUCCGGAAUUAUUGGGCGUAAAGAGCUCGUAGGCGGCUUGUCACGUCGGUUGUGAAAGCCCGGGGCUUAACCCCGGGUCUGCAGUCGAUACGGGCAGGCUAGAGUGUGGUAGGGGAGAUCGGAAUUCCUGGUGUAGCGGUGAAAUGCGCAGAUAUCAGGAGGAACACCGGUGGCGAAGGCGGAUCUCUGGGCCAUUACUGACGCUGAGGAGCGAAAGCGUGGGGAGCGAACAGGAUUAGAUACCCUGGUAGUCCACGCCGUAAACGGUGGGAACUAGGUGUUGGCGACAUUCCACGUCGUCGGUGCCGCAGCUAACGCAUUAAGUUCCCCGCCUGGGGAGUACGGCCGCAAGGCUAAAACUCAAAGGAAUUGACGGGGGGCCGCACAAGCAGCGGAGCAUGUGGCUUA
rnacentral:rRNA from 1 species